AACUGUUGAGAAAGGUAACAUGUUCCUUGAUUCAGGAACACCUCCAACUAUCUUACCAACACAAUUCUAUGAUCCAGUGGUGGCUGAAAUGAAGAACCAAGUUGCAAUGGAACCUAUUGUAGAUGAUCCUGAUUUGGGUUUUCAACUUUGCUAUCAAACAAAGAAAAAUCUUCAUGGUCCUAUUCUAACUGCUCAUUUUGAAGGUGCAGAUGUAACGUUGGAACCAAUUCAAACCUUCAUUUCACCAAAAGAUGGUGUUUUCUGCUUGGGGUUCACCAACACUAGUAGUGAUGUUGGGAUUUAUGGUAACUUUGCUCAAUCAAAUUACUUGAUUGGGUUUGAUCUAGAAGCACAAGUGGUUUCUUUCAAGCCAAGAGAUUGUACCAAAAACACAGAAUCUUAAUCAAUGUCUAUGAAUUUUGCUUAAAGAUAAGGUUUUCAAAAAGUUUUAAGGUAUCUAUUUGCUUUCAUAAAACAAAUAACAACUGAAAAAGAAAAACGAGAUGAAUAUAUUCAAGAUUAAAAAUUUGUUCAUGAUUUCUUUUGGAAAUAAAAUUGUCUGGCAAAAAAAAGGAAACAAAUACGUUUAGGAUUGGAAUAUGUAUACGAUUUUAAACAUUUUUUUUUUAUAAAUGCAAAUUUUAUUUGUAGAUUGUUAUUUCUAUAGCUCAAUCUCGAGUUGGAGAGAGAUUUUCUGAGACAUCUAACAGUGAAACUCGUUAUGAUUUAUUUAUAUAUAAUAUUUUAUAUAUUUUUAAUAUUAUUAUACUCUAUUUGACCAUCUGUUUUUUAAUUUUUUAAUUAUAAUAAUGGUUAAAAUCUGUUACUACGUUCAAGGAAAAUAUUUAAAAAGACAUUAUUUUGUAACUAUUUUUAAUAGUUAACAUGUUUUAAUAAUUAAAGUCGGUUAAUAUUAAUUAUUUUGUAGAAAGAAGGACUACUUUAACUAUUUUUAAAAUCAUACAAGAGACCAAACCGUCUAAUUUAAAAAACAAAAUUAAUAUUUUAACUUAUUUUUAUUACUUUAAUCCACGUAAAUAUUUGUAUCACAAUUUGUUUAAUAGACCCCACAAUCUAAUUCUAGAAAUCAUUUCAUAUAAAGUGAGUGAGACCACAAAUUUUUGUAGUACCAAUGGCUUUAAUAUAAAAAAAAUUAUUAAAUCAAAAUUAAUUUUAAAAAUAAAAAUUAAUUAAUAACUAUUUUCAGGUUGCAUCAAUUUGCCGUUUUGAGUGGGGCCCACGUUUUUGUUUUGUUCACGUACAAAAAAAGAAAUAAUGGGUCCACGGCUUUUUAAUUUUUUAUUCCUCAAUGCAUCAAUUGCUUUCUGGACUCCUCGUAUUAAUAUUUUCACUACCGAAAAUUUCACUGCUUGCACCACGCUUUUCAUACUGCACCACCUCUACCGAACAAGGCUAGGUCCAUUCCGCUGGCUCAGCAAUUUCACUGUCUGUAGUUGGAUUUCACUAUCAACACCGCUUUAACCAAAUGGCAAUUGCUUCCUGCACCCGAUCAAUUGUGACUGGCACCCGAUACAUUUUUAAAAAUCCUAAAAUGCUCUUGUCUUCUUCAUUUACGGAUAAAAAUAUCCGGAACUGCUCGUUGCUUACGGAUAAAAAUAUCCGGAACUGAUCGUUACUUACGGAUAAAAAUAUCCGGAAGCCACAGUUGUGCCUACGGAUAAAAAUAUCCAGAAGCCAGCCACAAUUGUGCCUACGGAUAAAAAUAUCCGGACCCAACUAUAUUCCGGAUAAAAAUAUCCGUAAGUCAAAACAAACUUACGGAUAAAAUUAUCCGGACCCCAAACUCCCUUGCGGAUAAAAAAUCUGCACCUCUCAAAAGUCACUUGCGGAUAAAAAUAUCCACAAUUCUCACUCACUUAUGGAUAAAAAUAUCUGGAAGCAUGACGUACCUUCGAAUCUGGUGCUCUGCCUGCGAUAAUGGAGGUCACGGUGGGUGCAGAAGAAUGGAGAAGAACAUCGCUCACGGUGGUUGGACAAUAAGCUUGCUCACGGUGGCUGCACAACACGGUAGCUUACGGUGGCUCGGUGACUGCGACAGGCACAAUGGAAUGGAAGAACAGAAGAAUAGGGUUGGUGCAGGUCAUUGGGUGCAUAUCACAAUUAUAGUUUUCAGGAUUUCAUUAAGGGUAUAUUCGUCUUUUACUAUUAAAUGAUUGGGUGCCAGUUAGAAUGUGUUGGGUGCAGGGAGAAUGUGCCUUACCAAAUAAGUCUCGGUCCAUUCCGUUGGCCCAGUAGUUUUGCUAUUUCGCACCCGCAUACUAAUAUCCGCAUCACCUCUGCCAAAUAAGCCUGGCUGGGCCCAUUCGCUGGGCCAACUCCUUUACUAUUUUGUCACAUCCUCUUUUUCAUUUAUACACUCACCCACUCUUAUUUUCUAAAAAAUAAUAAAAGUAUAAAAUCCAAAAAAUUUAAAAAUUUUAAAACAAAGAAAUCUUUUUCCAAAAAAAAUGUUUUCAUACUGACAGAACUACAUAAUAAUCUCUGAUUUUCUGUUCUUAACAAAAAUACGUAGGAGUGAAAACAAUCCUUACCGAAAUCAUUUUUUCUCAAAAUUUCAUUUCACUUUUAUUCAUAUUUUCAAAUGCCCAAUUUUUGCACUGGCAUAAUUUUUUUCUCUCCAAAUAGUUAAACCUUAGAACUAAGUAAACCUUAAUUUUCCAUUAUGAACACAGAUACGUGGACCAAGGUUCCUCCUUGUAGGAUCCCGAAUAUAAACUUUUUCAAUUUUUUAUUUUUUUAUUUUUAAACAUCAUUUUUUGUUUCUAUUUUUUUUUGGCAAAACAAACAUAGGAAAAUCACACUCAUUUUACACAUUUCGUUAAAGAUUUUGUGUUUGGACGAGCGUGGUAGGGAUCUUAAUACCUUUCAUAUGUGUAACCGACUCUCAAAUCCUAAAUCUAGUUCACAUACCAUUUUUCUGGUUUUUUUUGUAGUUUUCAACAAUAAACUAUGAUGGCGACUCCUAUUCUUUGUUUUGGUUUGUCGUCCCACCUUUGUGACCCUGGUUGCGACACACACGUAUGUAUUGAUCAUGUCAUACUAUCCACAUGGUACACCCAACAAAUUACAAUUGAGUCACUUUAAACUAUAGAUGUAUAAAUGUUCAACCACAUCUCAAUCAAACAAUACAAUUUGUCACACUUAACUCCUUUUGUAACACUAGUAUACUAAGCAUGUAACGUUAGAAACUAACACCUUACCCAUCAAAAAUAUCUUUGAUAAAAACCAAUCUUAUAAAUGUAAUUAGAUAUCAAUAAAGUUAAGAUAUAUUCAUUUCUCAUGUUUCAUGCUUAAUACUACGAUUUUUGGACCAACACUACCCGAAAUAUCCUUCAUACACACCUAUAAAAAGGAAACAUAUCAUAUACUUUAAUCAGCUUGAACAUUAGUCAUCCAAAGUAUUAAAUGUAUAAUUUAAUGUUAACUUUGCUUAGAUAUUUGCAUUAAUUAUUAUUGUUGUUUCUAUUAAAUUUCUUAAACUAUUUAAUAAUCCAAUCUUAAAAUUUGUAAUAAUGUUAUUUAGUUUGGCUAUAAAAGUUAAUAUUAUAGAAAAAAUACUUUUUAAUUAAUAUUAUUUUCAAAAUUUAUAAGAUCACACUAAUUCAUCUUAAUUUAUUAUAUUUUUUAAUUUUAAUUUAAUAUUUAAUUAAUUAAUUUUCACUCAAUUUAAAUUUACCUUCAUAUUAAUAUUCUUAAAUUAAUUAUUACAUUAAUUCUCUAUUAAGUAAUUCAAAGUGAACAAAAUCACAAUCGAAUCAUAAUACUCUAAGAAUAGAUAUCUGUAAUAACUUCUCUUAAACCAUCAUAAUUGUUACAAAGUCAUAUACAAAACCCUAAAAACAUUAAGAAGUUAACACCAAUAUAAAUUGAAUAUACAAGUACUUCAUUAGUAAGUCUCUAACAAUGGCUUAUUAUCUCACAUCAUUUCAUCCAUUCCUUGCUGCUAUCAUCAUUUGUCUGGUGUUUCUUCCUCUACAUUUCUCACCAAUCCAAGGAAACACAAAUGAGGGAUUCAGCAUUAACCUCAUUCGAAAAACCUCUCCCAAAAUCUUCCCUCAACGUCUAAGAGGUUUAUCAGCCAUUUCAAGAACUCCACAGUCCCCAAUAAGUGCUUACCUUGGUGAAUAUCUCAUGGAGAUUUCUAUUGGAACUCCACCAGUCAAAGUCUAUGGUAUUGCAGACACGGGCAGUGAUCUCACAUGGACUCAAUGUGUGCCAUGCAACAACUGCUACAAGCAACUUAACCCCAUGUUUGAUCCUCAGAAAUCCUCCUCCUAUAGCAACAUACCAUGCAACUCAAACUUGUGUCAUGAACUUAACACAGGCGUGUGUUCUCCUCAAAAGCAAUGCAACUACACCUAUGGCUACGCAGAUGAUUCCAUGACACAAGGAGCUUUGUCACAGGAAACUGUGACACUCACCUCAACCACAGGGGAAAGUGUUCCCCUUAAGGGCAUUGUGUUUGGUUGUGGGCACAACAACACAGGUACUUUCAAUGACCAUGAGAUGGGAAUCAUAGGGUUAGGAGGAGGGCCAGUGUCAUUGAUUUCUCAAAUAGGUUCAUCCUUUGGAGGCAAAAUGUUUUCACAAUGCUUGGUCCCUUUCCACACUGAUGUUAGUGUUUCUAGCAGAAUGAGUUUUGGCAAAGCCAGUAAGGUAUUAUUAACCGAGAAUAUAACUUUUAUUGCUUUUGAAAUCAUAGUUUUUUUUAUUAGGAAUAAAGAUUGAAUAACAGGAACAACUUAAGGGUAGUUCAACCUUAUACAUACCUAAAAAAAAAUGAGACAAUUCUCUAGUCUUUCAAACCAACAAAUAGAGAGACAAACAAAUCUACCAUUAAAAAAUCCUACCGUCCACACAAUUUCAAAAACUAACCUGUACAAAAUCAAAACUAAACCGUCCAAACCCAAACAGACUCAAAAAUCAAACCCAAUACCAUCUCUUUACAUCCACAACAAGGGGCAAAAAGAACGGCAGAAGCUUAAAACAACAAACAACCCAACCGAAGGAGUAACUCUUAUAAAAGCUCACUUUAUUGAAAACAUACCAGCUCUAGGAUCAAUGCACCACUCAACGUAAGUAAAACUAGCAGAAGUUAUCCAAGACCAAGCCUUUAAUUGUGCCAAAAUGAACACUUCCGAAGGAUUGAUCACCUCUUUAGAAUAUAUGUUUAUUACUGUGUUUCCAUAAUUCACUAACUACAGCAAUCCAAACACAAUUCCAGACUACAUUAACCUGGACUGGACAGGAACAUUUAGCAAAUUAAUAGUAUAAAUGACAGUAAAACACUAGAAUUAAAGCUAUUAAUUCUUGUUAUUCAAAUUUCAGAGGACUUUGAAUUUAAUGCUAACAGGUGUCGGGGAAUGGAGUGGUUUCUACACCUUUGGUUGCAAAGGAUGAUAAAACCCUUUACUUUGUGACCUUACUAGGAAUCAGUGUGGGAAACACGUAUUUACAUUAUAAUGGUUCUUCAAACACUGUUGAGAAAGGUAACAUGAUCCUUGAUUCAGGAACACCUCCAACUAUGUUACCAACACAGUUCUAUGAUCAAGUGGUGGCUCAAGUGAAGAACCAGGUUAAGAUGAAACCUAUUGUAGAUGAUCCUGGUUUGGGUUCUCAACUUUGCUAUCGAACAAAGAACAAUCUUAAUGGUCCUAUGUUAACUGCUCAUUUUGAAGGUGCAGAUGUAACAUUAGCACCAAUUCAAACCUUCAUUCCACCAAAAGAUGGUGUUUUCUGUUUGGCAUUCACCAACAUUAGCACUGAUGUGGGGAUUUAUGGUAACUUUGUCCAAUCAAAUUUCUUGAUUGGAUUUGAUCUAGAAGCAAAAAUGGUGUCUUUCAAGCCAACAGAUUGUACCAAAAAUAAGUAGAAUCUUAAUCCAUGUGUAUGAAUUCUGGUUAAAAAGAAGGUUUUCAAAAGUUUCAAUUUACUCUUAAGAUUUUCAUUAAUUCCAUUUGUUUUCAUGUACCUAGAGAAACAAAUUACAAAAAAAAAUGUAUUUGGUUUUUUAGGAAAUGAAAUUGUCAAACAAAUAUAUUCAAGAUUGAUUUUCAUUUUAUAAAUAAAAUUGAAUUUCUAUUUCAUAGUUCAACAGAAUCAUCUCCUCUUGAGAGAUUUCCCUUGAGAUAUCUUUAGAUAUGAAACUUAUAAUAUUAUAUAUAUAUAUAUUUAUAAAUUUGUGUUAAUUAUUAUUAUUGCUUCUAUUUAAUUUCUAAAACUAUUUAAUAAAUCCAACCUUAAAAUCUAUACCUAUAUAUAAAGAGAAUUCUCCACUUUAACUGUUCUAAAUUAUUUUCCUAUUUUAUCCUUGCUUAAUAUUUUGUUUUGUUAAUUUGUUUUGGUUAUUUGAACCUUUUAUAAUUUUAGAAGUUAAUAAAGUAGUUUUUAAAUUUUAUUUUAUUUGUUCUCACUUAAUUAACAGGAGAGUGGAGAGAAUGAUAUUAAUUAAUUUUAUUUUGUUGUCACCUAGCAGGAGAGUGGAAAGAUUAGUUACUUUUAUGUUUUAAACUGAUAUUCUUCUUUAUUAAAUAAUUUUUUUUAAAUUUUUUUUAUUUGUUCUCACAUAAUUGGUUGGAGAGUGGAGAGAUUGGUACCUUGAUUUUAUUUUAUUUGUUGUUAGGCAGGGGAGUGGAGAGAUUGAUUCUCCUAUUUAAAACAAUUAUUAAAAACAAUUUUGAAUGUAAAACAGUUUUUUAAUUUUUUUUCUCUUAUUUUAUCUCUCUCCUUUCUCAAAUCUCUUGAAACCCAACAACAUAUUUCUCAUACAUACAAAUACACAUAAAUUAUAUUUAAAUAAAUAUCUAUACCUAUAUAUAAAGGGGAUUCCCCUCUUAACUGCUCUUAAUUUUUUUUCCUAGUUUAUCCUUAUAUUAAUAUUUAAUUUUAUUAUUGUAUUAUGAUCAUUGUGUCAUUUCUUAUUCCCCUCUUAAUUGCUCUUAAUUUUUUUUCCAUUUUAUCCUUACUUAAUAAUUUAUUGUAUUAAUUUAUUUUGGUUAUUUGGACAUUUUAUAAUUUCAAAAUUAAUAAAAUAAUUUUAAAAUUUAUUUUAUUUGUUAUUAUUUAACUGGAGACUGGAGAGAAGGGAGAGAAUGAUUAGUAUCUUCUUCUCUAUUAAAUAAAAAAUUAAAUAUAUUUAUAAUAUUUUGUGGACCACUUUAGUGGGAGGGUGGAGAUUUGUUACGUUACUUUUUUUUAUUUAAACUAACCCACGUAUCAUACUUCCCACUUUCUCUCUCAUAUAUAGGUACCUACUCUCCACUUUUUCUCUCCACUACACAUAACACAUUCUUUUUUUUACCAUACUUCUCAUAUAAAUAAAUAAAUUCAUUCAUUCUCUUUGCCAUAUGUAACUUUUAAUGACAGCUCUCCACUAUUUUAUUAACCUACUUUUUAACGGUAUACUCUUUAACUUCUCAUUUUAAUGUUAUUAAGAUAAAUUUUUUUUGAAGAAUAAAAAGAUACUAAAAAAAGAGAAAUAAAAAAUGCAGAUACACACUACUAUUUAAUUAUAUACUCUUUAACUUCUCAUUUUAAUUUUAUUAAGAAAAAUUAUUUUUAAAAGAUAAAAAAAUACUAAAGAAACAAAAAUAAAAAAUGCAGAUACACAUGCACGUCAGUACCUAUGUUCCCACUAGUAUACAUAAUAAUAAUAAUAAUAAUAAUAAUAAUAAUAAUAAUAAUAAUAAUAAUAAUAAUAAUAAUAAUAAUAAUAAUAAAAAUAAAAACUAAAAAAUGUGAUGCAUCGACAGAGCACAUAGUUUGUAAUAAUGUUAUUUAGUUUGACUAUAAAAGUUAAUAGUUUGUAAUAAUGUUAUUUAGUUUGACUAUAAAAGUUAAUAGUUUGUAAUAAUGUUAUUUAGUUUGACUAUAAAAGUUAAUAAUAUAGGCAAAAUCAUUUAUUACAAUUUUUUAAUAUAAUAUUUUUUUACUUAAUAUUAUUUUCAAAAUUUAAGAUCACAUUAAUUAACCUUAGUUAAUUAUAUUCUUUGAUUUUCAUUUAAUAUUUAAUUAAUUAAUUUUUAUUCCAUUUGAAGUUACGUUCACACUAAUAUUUUUAAAUCUAUUAUUAUAUUAAUUAUCAUUUAAUUAAAUAAAGUAGAUCAAUUGAAUCUAAAUAACAUUAUCUAUCAUAACUUCUCUUAAACCAUCACAACUUUACAAAGUCAUACACACAAUUCUUAAAAUCCUUUACAAAAAAUACUUCAUCAAUAGUCUCUAUAACAAUGGCUUAUUAUCUCACAUCAUUUCAUCCAUUCCUUGCCCCUAUAAAAAAAAUGUAUUUGUUAAUUUUUAUAGGAAAUGUUCAAGUUCAUUUUAGAAAUAAAAUUGAAUUUCUAAAUUUUCUAGAGAUUUCUAUAUUUAGGUAUGAAACUUAUAAUAUUUUAUAAUUUUCUUUUUACAAAUUUGUGUUAAUUAUUAUUGUUGUUUCUAUUAAAUUUCUAAAACUAUUUAUAAAUCCAACCUUAAAAUUUGUAAUAAUGUUAUUUAGUUUGGCUAUAAAAGUUAAUAUUAUAGGCAAAAUCAUUUAUUACACUUUUUUAAUAUAAUAUUUUUUUACUUAAUAUUAUUUUCAAAUUUUAAGAUCACAUUAAUUAACCUUAGUUAAUGAUAUUCUUUGAUUUUCAUUUAAUAUUUAAUUAAUUAAUUUUUAUUCAAUUUGAAGUUAAGUUCACACUAAUAUUUUUAAAUCAAUUAUUAUAUUAAUUAUCAUUCAAGUAAAUAAAGUGGAUCAAGUCACAGUUGAAUCGUACACUACAAUACAAUUAUGAAGUAGAAUCCAAUUUUAGAGAAAAAAAUAAUUAGUUGCUAUAGUGAUUAAAUUAGAGACAAAUUUAGGACUAAAUAAAUUUUUGUUUUUAAAUUAGUUUUUAUUAUUAUUAAAUAGUUUCUAAAUUGGUAUUUAAUUAGCAACUAAGAUUUUUCUACCAAAUUUAGAAACUAAAUAAUUGAUUUUCUAUCUGAUGAUUUUCUUGUAGUAGUAAUAACAUUAUCUAUCGCUGCAGGUAUAACAUCUUUAUGGUUGUUCAGUGGUAUAACCAGUUUGUGGUUUGUAAACGGGUUGAGAUACCCCUAAAGUAUCCCUCUUAAUUUAAUUUAUUCAUUGUUGAUAAAAAAAAUAUACACACAAUUCUUAAAACAUUAAUAAGUUAACACCAAUAUAAAUUGAGCAUUCAUCCUUUACAAAAAAAAUACUUCAUCAAUAGUCUCUAACAAUGGCUUAUUAUCUCAUAUCAUUUCAUCCAUUCCUUGCUGCUAUCAUCAUUUAUCUGGUGUUUCUUCCUUUACAUUUCUCACCCAUCCAAGGAAACACAAAUGAGGGAUUCAGCAUUAACCUCAUUCGAAAAACCUCUCCCAAAGUCUUCCCUCAACGUCUAAGAGGUUUAUCAGCCAUCUCAGGAACUCCACAAUCCCCAAUUAGUGCUUACCUUGGUGAAUAUCUCAUGGAGAUUUCUAUUGGAACUCCACCCUUCAAAGUCUAUGGUAUUGCAGACACGGGCAGUGAUCUCACAUGGACUCAAUGUGUGCCAUGCAACAACUGCUACAAGCAAAUUAACCCCAUGUUUGAUCCUAAAAAAUCCUCCUCCUAUAGCAACAUACCAUGCAACUCAAACUUGUGUCAUGAACUUGACACAGGCGUGUGUUCUCCACAAAAGCAAUGCAACUACACAUAUGCCUAUGGAGAUUCUUCCAUGACACAAGGAUCUUUGGCACAGGAAACUGUGACACUCACCUCAACCACAGGGGAAAGUGUUCCCCUUAAGGGCAUUGUGUUUGGUUGUGGACACAAGGACUCAGAGGGUUUCAAUGACCAUGAAAUGGGAAUCAUAGGGUUAGGAGGAGGGCCAGUGUCAUUGAUUUCUCAAAUAGGUUCAUCUUUUGGAGGCAAAAUGUUUUCACAAUGCUUGGUCCCUUUCCACACUGAUGUGAGUGUUUCUAGCAGAAUGAGUUUUGGCAAAGGGAGUAAGGUAUCAGGGAUUGGAGUGGUUUCUACACCUUUGGUUGCAAAGGAAGAUAAAACCCCUUAUUUUGUGACCUUACUAGGGCUCAGUGUGGGAAACACAUAUUUGCAUUAUAAUGGUUCUUCAAAAACUGUUGAGAAAGGUAACAUGUUCCUUGAUUUAGGAACACCUCCAACUAUCUUACCAACACAAUUCUAUGAUCGAGUGGUGGCUCAAGUGAAGAACCAAGUUGCAAUGAAACCUAUUGUAGAUGAUCCUGAUUUGGGUUCUCAACUUUGCUAUCAAACAAAGAACAAUCUUAAUGGUCCUAUGCUAACUGCUCAUUUUGAAGGUGCAGAUGUAACAUUGGCACCAAUUCAAACCUUCAUUUCACCAAAAGAUGGUGUUUUCUGCUUGGGGUUCACCAACACUAGCAGUGAUGUGGGGAUUUAUGGUAACUUUGUUCAAUCAAACUACUUGAUUGGAUUUGAUCUAGAAGCAAAAAUGGUAUCUUUCAAGCCAACAGAUUGUACAAAAAAUAAGUAGAAUCUUAAUCCAUGUGUAUGAAUUCUGUUUAAGAAGAAGGUUUUCAAAGGUUUCAAUUUACUCUUAAUAUUUUCUUUAAUUCCAUUUGUUUUUUUUACCUAAACAAACAUGUUACAGAAAAAAAAAAGAAACUUGUCUUUGUUUUUUUGUAAGAAAUGAAAUUAGCAAACCAAUAUAUUCAAAUUUGAUUUUUUUUAAAAAUAAAAUUUUAUUUCUAUUAUAUUCUAUUUGACCCUUUAUUUUUUAAGAUGUUUUAGUAUUUUACUUGUUAAUUAUUCCUUUAGUUAAAAUAUAUGACACGUUUCAAUGAAAAUAUUUGAAAAAUGUAUUAUUUUGUAACUGUUUUUAAUAGUUAGUUUGUUUUAAUAAGUAAACUGAAUUCAUUUUAAUUAUUAGGCUGAGUUAACUUUAAACUGAUAGAAAUAAUGACUAUUUUAAAAUCAUAAAAAUUAAAUGAAUUUUUAAAAUACAAGAGAGAGAAACGUCUAAUCUAAAAAAAACUAAAUUAAUAAUUAAGUUUUUUUUAUCACUUUAAUCAAGAUAAAUAUUUGUAUUACAAUUUGUUUAGUAUUAAAAGUAUCACCAAGAAAAUAAUUCAAUAUCGAUUAAAUUUAAAGAUAAAAAAUAAUUAAUCAUUAUAUUGAUUAAAUUAGAUACUAAUUUAGAAACUAAAAAUUUAUUUAUAUCUAAAGUAAUUUCUAUUGUUAGAUAAAAAAAUUAAAAUAAUUUAUAAAUUGAUAUCUAAAUUAGCUACCUAACUUUUAACUACUAAUAUUUUAGAUUCUAAAUUAGUCUCUAAAACACUAAUAUAAACUAAUUUAAAAUAUAAAGUGGUAAGUAGCCAAAAUCUUGAUAAUUAAUGGUGAGAUACCAAUUUAGAAACUAUUUUAUAAAUUUGUAUUAAUAAUAAAAAUUAUUUUAAGGACCAAUAAUUUUUUUAGUUUAUAAAAUGGUCUCUAAUUUAGUGAAAUAGUAACUAAUUAUUUUGGUCUCUAGAACUAGUUUUUAUUUAAUGAUUUAAAUAUAGUAUUUAACAUUAAUGUGUUAUAUAUGUGAAUGAGUUAUUAUUAUUAUUAUUAUUAUUUCUAUUGAAUUUAUUAAAUUAUUUAAUAAGCAGAAUGUUGAAGCUUUUGAGACUGUUAUUUAGUUUGAUUAUAUAUUUAAUAAAUAUAAAAGUUAAUGCUAUUGAAAAUAUUUAUUGCAUUUUCUUAAAUAUAAUUUUAUUUAAUUCUUAUUUUCAAAAUCCAAAAUAGCAUUAAUUACUUUUUGUUUAAUUAUACUUCAUGUGUUCUUUUUAAUUGUCAAUUUUGUUAUUCAAGUUUUGUUUUUAUAUAUAAUUCCUUUGUGAAGUUGAAUAUUACAUUAUUUGUUGUUUUAUUGAAUAUACUCUUACUCUUGAAUAUUUAAAAAAUAAUUAAAAUACUCCCUGUAGAAUUAUGGGUGAUGUUAAAUUUUUUGGUGGGAUGAAAAAUCUUUUCAUAAUAUUUCAAAUUAAAAUUGAUGGUGAUAAAAAUUUAAAGAUUAAAACAGUGUGAGUAAACUUAUUUUUAUUGAAAUGAGAAAUAAACACUUUAAAUACUCUAUUUUUAUAGGUUUUUUAAUUGACAUAAAUAAUUGAUAUUUUAUUAGAAAUGAAAGGAUAACUUAAUUCAUGAAAAAUAAAAAUUUGACAUUUUAUUGUAAACAGAAAAUAGACCAUUUUAAAUUAUUUUCACGUAGAUAAUAAAAAAUAUAUAAAGAUAUAAUUAGAAAGAAAUUAAGAACUCUAUUAAAAAUUAUGAAAAUUGAUGUUUUUAUUUAAUAUAAAUAUUUUUUUUUUACUUUUUUAAAAUAUUUAAUUAAUUUACAUAUAUAUAUGUAUGCAUUGUAAUAUUUAUUUAGUUUAAAUAUAUGCCUGAUGUAAAAAUAGAAAACUAAUGAUAAAAUAAAACAUUUAUUAACAUUAAGAAAAUGUAUUAUUUUUUAUAUAUUUAAUUAUUUUAAAUUGAGUUUCUAUUAAACUUUUUAAAUAAUUGAUAAUUAAAAUUUAUAUAUAUUUUAAUUAAAUCUUUAUCUUUUAUCCGUUAAUUGAGUGUUAUAUUGUCGGACAUCUUACUUAUUAUUUUUACAUUAGAGUUUAUUAAAAUCUAUUUUUAAUGUGAUAUGUUAAGUUUUAUUGUUUUAGUAAAUAAUUAUACACAUUUUUUAUUUUUUAUAAAUAUGAAAAAAAGUUAUCUACUUUUAAUAGCACAAGAGUUUGUUUGUUCAUUUCUAAAACAUCAUGGUCAAUUUUCUCUAGUUUCAUUUAUGGCUGGUUGUAGUUUUCAUGCUAUUAUGUCAAACACAAAUUGGAGUUAAAAAUAUUGGGUUGUGUUGGAUAUUAUGAUAUUUUAUAGUAUAUAAGUCUCACCUUAUAAGUAGGUUUUACAAGGUUGAGUCAGACUUUAGAUAUAUUUUUAACAAGAUAUUAUAACCAUUAAAAGUUUAUCUUAUCGAGAGUUUGUUGGUCUUAUCGGGUCAUCCGCUAUCGGAUCACUUAUAAAUAUAUAAUCUUAAACACGAGCUGGUGUAAGGGUGCAAACCUCAUCUCAUAAACUUUAUAAGGUUGAGUUAAACUUAAAAUCUACAAUAACUCACCCAAUUCUCUAUUCUACAAAUGAGAUAAAGUUGAUUCAUUUUACCAAAUUCCUAAGAAAUCAAAGGCCACAAAUGAUCCCUUCACUAGAGUCACAUACAACAAUGGUGAUUAAAUUUUAAAUUUUAAAUUUUAGAACUAAUUACAUAUUAGAGAAGGUACUUACUAUACAUGCUCAUAAUAAAACAUUAAUGAUUAACUAAUAAGUAAAUAAAUGAUAAUUCAUUCCUUCCUUUUUUUAUUUCUCUCAACUUUGAAAAUAAUAAUUUAUUUUCAUAUUUUUUUUAAAAAAAUUCAAUAACAUAUUAUUAUUAUUAUUAUUAUUAUUAUUUCUAUUAUACUCUUAGUCCUCAUAUUAAUUUAAAACAAUUUACAAGUGCUUGAUGAAAAUAAAAAUGAUUGAAAUAAGAAAUCACACCAAUACUGUUUAUUGAGAUUUGAAGCAAUAUAUUUUAACUAAUUCAGUUGUAGUAGAUAUUUGAGUUGUUUUUUUUAUUCAUGACACAUUUAAUUUAUUCACUAUUUACUUAAGUCGGCCUCUUUCAAAGCCAUUGAGUUUGCCUUUAUUUGGACCAAUUUAUAUCUAUUGGGCCCAAGCUAAGUGGGUGAAAAAGAUAUAUUUUAAGUGAUCUGGUCAUGACUCGAUUAUGACCGAACAAUACAAAGACUUAAAAGAAAGAACAUAAAGAGUAUUAAAUCAUAUAUAUAUAUAUAUAAUACUCAUAAAAUAUAUAAAAACACAAAUAAUUUAGAAUUACACAAAAUUUAAAUUCAUUACUAUAACUUAAUUCUAUGAUUUAUAAUAUUUUAGUCUAUACAAUAAAUCUAACAACAUAUUUUAUAAAAUAAUUUAGCUAAAUUCAAUUUAUCAAUUAGUUAAUUUGAUUUGAUUAAUUGACUGUUGAUUAAUUUAGUUUAAUUUUGAUUAUUUAUGAAAAUAAUUUUAUUAUUAUUACUUUUUUACAAUAUUUUCCCAUAAUAAAUAGUAAGGCGUCUAUAAUUUUAUUAUUGUUGACAUUUCUUAUUACAACAGUUCUAUUAGCUCUUCAUCUCAAUUAAUUAAUAAAUCAAAUGUUUUGAGUUAAAUACUUGUUUAUUUUGAAUUGUUUCCAUAAAUUAUUUCGAAAAUAUUUGUUACAUGUAAAUCGUAUAUAUUUAAUCAUGAACUUAUACAAUUUCUACAAUUCAUUAAAUUUUUAAAAUCAAUCAAUUGAAAUACACACAUAAUCAAUCAAUUGAAAUACACACAUGCAUGUGAAGACAAGGAUCAAGAUUUUGUUGAACUUCUAAUCUCUUUACAUUAAAUCCAAUAAAUUGAUUAGUGACUCACGGACCACGUUGGCUCGUGAUUAUACAUAAAGUUUCUGCUCAACACAACAAAGUCCAAAAUUUUUAUUCUUAAAAAACAUAAAAACACAUAAUUUCUUUGGAACAAGUAUUAAUUUCGUUAAAACAUAGACUAAAUAUUAUAUUAGAAUCAUUUAAAACAUAUUCGAACAAGAAUUUAUUCAAUUUAUCAUGUCAUCCACUAUCGGACCACUAUCAUAUCAUAUGCUAUCGGCCCACUUUUGAGUGGGUCUUGAACCCUUUGCUUAUCUUCCGGAAAGGAAAAAAAAAGGAAAUUAAGAGGUAAAUAGUAUUUUGGAGAACUCGUCAAAGAAUUCACUCACAUGCUGCUACUGUCUAUCUCUUGUGACUUAACCCCACCAACUUCUCCACUCACAUGAAUGUUAUGCUGAUAUAUGUAUAUAUGAAAUGAAUUCCUCUACUUAUCACAUGACUUUGUCCCUUGCUAAAAGCUUCAUGGCCAACAUUCUCUUCUUCCAUCUUUGCUUUUUUGUACUGUAUACAGUCUUACUUCAAACUCUAAGUGGAGCUUACAACUCCGGGUUCAGUGUUCAACUAAUCCGCCAGAACUCACCAAAUUCUCCCUUCUACAAAUCAAAUGAACUUCAUAUGCAUAGACGUGCCUCAUUUUACCAAGUUCCCAAGAAAUCAUAUGCCCCAAAUGGUCCCUUGACUAGAGUCACAUCCAACAAUGGUGACUAUCUCAUGAAGCUCACAUUGGGGACACCACCAGUGGAUGUGUAUGGUUUGGUUGAUACAGGCAGUGACCUCGUGUGGGCACAAUGUACACCUUGCCAAGGCUGUUAUAAGCAGAAAAGUCCUAUGUUUGAGCCUCUAAGGUCCAAAACAUACACUCCUGUUCCAUGCAAUUCAGAAGAGUGUAAUUCACUCUUUGGUCAUUCGUGCUCUCCUCAAAAACUCUGCGCAUAUAGUUAUGCUUAUGCUGAUUCUUCAGUGACAAAAGGGGUGCUUGCAAGGGAAACUAUCACAUUCAGUUCCAACAAUGAAGAAUCGGUUGUUGUUGGAGACAUUAUAUUUGGGUGUGGACACAGCAACUCUGGAACUUUCAAUGAAAACGACAUGGGGAUCGUUGGUCUAGGUGGGGGUCCUCUGUCACUUGUUUCACAAAUUGGUAGCCUUUAUGGAAGUAGAAGGUUUUCUCAGUGCCUGGUUCCUUUUCAUGCAGACCCUCAGACUUCAGGUACCAUCAGUUUUGGUGAUGCCAGUGAUGUUUCUGGUGAAGGAGUAGCCACAACUCCUUUGGUUUCUGAGGAAGGUCAGUCCCCUUAUCUGGUCACACUAGAAGGCAUAAGUGUUGGAGACACAUUUGUGCCCUUUAAUUCCUCAGAAAUGCUUGCCAAGGGAAAUAUAAUGAUUGAUUCAGGUACACCAGCAACAUAUUUACCACAAGAAUUUUAUGACCGUCUAGUGGAGGAAUUGAAGGUGCAGAAUAGCCUGUUACCCAUUGAUGAUGACCCAGACUUGGGCACACAACUUUGCUACAGAAGUGAGACAAACUUAGAAGGGCCAACCUUGACUGCUCAUUUUGAAGGGGCAGAUGUGCAAUUGAUGCCAAUACAAACCUUCAUUCCACCAAAAGAU
rnacentral:lncRNA from 1 species